rnacentral:rRNA from 1 species
UACGAAGGGGGCUAGCGUUGCUCGGAAUGACUGGGCGUAAAGGGCGCGUAGGCGGUGAUCACAGUCAGGCGUGAAAUCCCUCGGCUUAACCGGGGAACUGCAUCUGAUACUGGAUGGCUUGAGUUCGGGAGAGGGAUGCGGAAUUCCAGGUGUAGCGGUGAAAUGCGUAGAUAUCUGGAGGAACACCGGUGGCGAAGGCGGCAUCCUGGACCGACACUGACGCUGAGACGCGAAAGCGUGGGGAGCAAACAGG